UACGUAGGUGGCAAGCGUUGUCCGGAUUUACUGGGCGUAAAGGAUGCGUAGGUGGAUAUUUUAAGUGGGAUGUGAAAUACCCGAGCUCAACUUGGGUGCUGCAUUCCAAACUGGAUAUCUAGAGUGCAGGAGAGGUAAGUGGAAUUCCUAGUGUAGCGGUGAAAUGCGUAGAGAUUAGGAAGAACACCAGUGGCGAAGGCGACUUACUGGACUGUAACUGACACUGAGGCAUGAAAGCGUGGGGAGCAAACAGG
rnacentral:rRNA from 1 species